rnacentral:rRNA from 1 species
UACAGAGGUCUCAAGCGUUGUUCGGAUUCAUUGGGCGUAAAGGGUGCGUAGGUGGUUGGGUAAGUCAAAUGUGAAAUCCCGGAGCUCAACUCCGGAACUGCAUUCGAUACUGCCCGGCUCGAGGAUUGGAGAAGAGACUGGCAUUCACGGUGUAGCAGUGAAAUGCGUAGAGAUCGUGAGGAACACCCGUGGCGAAGGCGGGUCUCUGGACAAUUCCUGACACUGAGGCACGAAGGCCAGGGGAGCACACGGG